rnacentral:rRNA from 1 species
GAUGAACGCUGGCGGCGUGCUUAACACAUGCAAGUCGAACGGAAAGGCCCAAGCUUGCUUGGGUACUCGAGUGGCGAACGGGUGAGUAACACGUGGGUGAUCUGCCCUGCACUUCGGGAUAAGCCUGGGAAACUGGGUCUAAUACCGGAUAGGACCACAUUUUGGAUGGUGUGGUGGAAAGUUUUUCGGUGUGGGAUGAGCUCGCGGCCUAUCAGCUUGUUGGUGGGGUAAUGGCCUACCAAGGCGUCGACGGGUAGCCGGCCUGAGAGGGUGUACGGCCACAUUGGGACUGAGAUACGGCCCAGACUCCUACGGGAGGCAGCAGUGGGGAAUAUUGCACAAUGGGCGCAAGCCUGAUGCAGCGACGCCGCGUGGAGGAUGACGGCCUUCGGGUUGUAAACUCCUUUCGCUAGGGACGAAGCGCAAGUGACGGUACCUGGAGAAGAAGCACCGGCUAACUACGUG